rnacentral:other from 1 species
UUUUUCCUGCCUGAUUCGCCUAUAGUGCAAAAAUAACCCUACAAUCUUUAAAUCGGGAGCUUAACUCCUUUGGCGGUGUGCAGACCUCCCUGCUAUGCAGGAAGAAGGGAGCCUGAAACCACAGGGUGGGCACCCACCUGCUAUUUUCGUAGGCAGGUUAUAUUGCGCACUUUACGGUCAGGCGGGUUUUAU